AUCCAAACAUUUUAUCAAUCGAUUAGACAAUCAUUCAAACUACUUUUUUUUCUAUUUUGAAAUAUUAAAGAUGUUCGGAUGAAGUUAAAGUUGGCAUAUUCCCAUAGUGAUCAUUCUGUUACUCGUCAUAAUUAUGAAAGCAAGACUAAGAAAAUAUUUACUGGUGUUUUUAACUUGUGGUUUAUACUUAUAAAGAGGUGAAAGACAGAACCAGCGUAGACUUCAAUAUUUAACUGAAUCAAGGAAAAAGUAAAGGCAGAAUUGAUCUAGAUGUUUAUAGUCACAGUGCCUCAACCUGAAGAGGUUGAAAAAAUCUCGAUUAGCUCAUUUUUUAUCAACAUGGUUUUCAUGUCUCAUUUGCUGCACUAAACGUGCAAAACGCGCCGAGUGGGAUAAGCAUCUUUUAGUCCAUCGACUACCAGAUAUAGAAUAGAAAAUUUCAAAGUUACAUCUAAUAUUCUUAGAGAUGGAAGCAACAAAAGAGUAUCGUUCACACAUAAACUUCUUUCUAAGGGUGAAGGGAAACAUUCCUUAGAGAGUAAUGAUCCCAUUUAGACUGUUUUUUAGCUACCUUUGUGUAAAACCAAAGCUGUGAUAGUUUUAAUUUGAUAGUACACACAUAUUUAUCCGAGUGUAAAUGUAGGAUGGGUCUUAAUGAGCAGGUGUUGCAUUUCUGUAGUCCUUUUUGUCAUUUUAAAAAAUGGAAAAAAAGCGGUCGAAAUAGCUGAUAUCACCCUACUUGACGACUCUUUGAAUUUCCCUCAGGAUUAAUAAAGUAGGCUAUCUAUCCAUCUAUCGAAUUUAACAGAGACGUCUGACGUUGAUGGCGGGGAGGAGCUAAAAUCACCUUACCGGAAGUCAACGCGUCAGUCAGCAGCAGUGUUGCCAGUUUGGGCGGUUUUCCGCGGGUAACAAUGGACUGGUUCUCCUCGAGUUAGCCAUGGUUUUAACUGCAUCUUGACAGACUGGAUUACAUUCUUAAUUGUUUCGUUAGGUUAAUUUAAACGAUAGUUACGAAAGUAAGUGAGUUCUCCUUGAUGUCCGUGAACGUCUCAAACUGUCAGCAGCUCUUUCGAAGCCUGUCAGUCUCUCUCAGUAUCACGUAGAGUUCACUGGGAGCAGCCCUGUUGUGACUGGGAGAGAGCGCAAGAGCGCGCGCGAGAGAGAGAUGAAUGUGCACGUCGGGACGUGCGUGGUUUUUGUGCGCGUGCGUGCCUGCAAGAGAAACAAACUCUCAGAGACCGAUGAAGACGGCAAAUUUAGUUGUUUUGGCGUUGGCGACGGCCCACAGUAGCCUGUACUGAGUUAGCGAAAACAAGCGAAACUGGAAAACGUCAUAUUGAACAGGAAGAGCGGAGGUCCUGUUAAAAUAAGCAAAUAGUAGAACUCUUCAGUAUUAAACCUUUUAGCAAGCAAAACAUUCUGGCGAGAGGAAUUAUGAAUUAGCCUACAGUUAUUGUAUUACACACCCAGCUGCCACAUAGUGAUGUACCUAUAGCUAUACCUCUACAAAGUUAUGAUCGGAUGUUUAUCUGUGUUCAUCGAUGUGUUCAUGGAGCAACCAGCAUCUAAAGGUGACAUAUCAGCACUUAAUUAUUUUGAUAAGCCUGAGUGUGUGCAUGUGCAUGUACGGCACACAGACGUGAGCAAACCAGCUACUUGCUGUUUGGUUUUAUGAAAAACAGAUUAAUUUUGACAUGUUGUUGAGCUCUGUAAUAUUUGCCGGUUUUGAGGAAUAGAGAUGCAGAUGGUAGUCAUUCACCUGAGAUCGUGGUUGGCUACAGGUUGUUGCUUGUGGUUUCAGGAGUACAUUUUGGUGUGCUUAAGCUGUCAGUGAGCUUUUUUUAGUAUUGUACGUUCGUCAAAAGAAAAAGACAGCACUAAAUAUUGAUUAUUAUGCGUUUUUUGUGCAAUCUGGCGGUUUUUAGACAGGGUCUGGGCUGGGAACUAACAGUCGUAUCUGGCAACACUGGUUGGAGCUCCUGGCGAGCAGGAAUGUACCAAGAAGAAAAAAAAAGUGUUUGAAAGAGAAGAAGACAGAAGAACAAGAAGACGGUGUUUUAGGAGAAAAUGAUGCGUUCAUUGAAUGUCCAUCAAACCCUCCAGUUGUUUUAUGGAGAGGAAGACAUAGAUGGUGAGCCUCUUUCAUCUUCAUUGUCCGAGGAGGAAGAGGAGAGUGACGCUGAGGAUGAUGAGGUGACUGACCCGUCUUUUAUCAUCGAGGAAGACAGCUAUGAAGAAAAUGGACCCUCUGCACAGAGGCCUACCCAGAGAGGGUGUGGGAGGAGGAGUAAGACAAGGUCCAGAUCUCCACAAGCUCAGCCCCACAAUCGCUUGGAGCCUUGGAGAACAGAAAAAGACCCUGACACUGCCCCACAAAUCAGCCGGUUCAUGCCACGAAGAACACCAGGAGCCCAGGUGGACACUCAUGCAGCCUAUUCCCCUCGAGACCUGUUCCUGCUGUACUUCUCCCCAACCACAGUGCUGACCCUCUGCAGAAACACCAACAAGUAUACAGCAAAAAACAAAGAAAUGGGGAAGAAGUACAAAUGGGAGGAUGUUGAAGUUGAGGAGUUCUACAAGUUUCUUGGGCUCCUUACAUACACAUCGCUGUUGUCACUGCCAAGUAUCAGGGAUUACUGGAAACAGAACAAAAUCACAUCUGUGCUGUUUCCAGCUACUGUGAUGACGAGGGACAGAUUCAGGGCUCUGCUUUGGAACAUUCAUCCCAGUGACCCAGAGGAGGACAAAAAAAAUGAUGAGAAGAAGGGAACACCAACUUAUGACAAGUUGUUCAGGAUCAAGCCCCUCAUGGACGACAUCCUCAGUGCCUGCCAGGCUCAUUAUCACCCAAGGAGAGAAGUGGCUGUUGAUGAGAGAAUGGUGGCCACCAAGGCAAAAACUGGUAUGACCCAGUUUAUGAAGGACAAACCCACGAGGUGGGGGAUCAAGCUGUUUGUGUUGGCUGACUCGAGCAACGGCUACACAAUAAAUUUCAACAUUUACACAGGCAAAACACACACACAAACAGUGCACGGGCUCUCGUACGAUGCUGUGAUGCACCUGAUACAGCCAUCAUACCUCGGCACUGGCUACCACAUUUACAUGGACAAUUUUUACACAAGCCCCCAGUUAUUCCUCGACUUGGCCCACAUGAAGUUUGGAGCCUGUGGAACAUACAGGGACAACGGGAAAGGGUGUCCAACUGGGAGAGAAAAUGCUCUCACCAGAAAAUCAGAGAGGGGCGCAUUGAGAUGGAUCAGGGAGGGCUCCCUGGUCUUUGUGAAGUGGAUGGACUCACGGGAGGUGUCCGUAUGCUCCACAAUCCAUCCAGCAGUUUCUGGGGAGGUGAUCAAGAGGAGAGUGAAGGAGAAAGAUGGAAGCUGGGCAGUGAAGAACAUCCCCUGCCCCACCCCAAUCAUCGCCUACAACAAGAACAUGGGUGGGGUUGACCUGUCUGACCAGCUGCUACAGUACUAUUCUACCCAUCGCAGAAGUGCAAGCUGGUACCACACCCUCUUUUUGCACCUUGUGGACAUCGCCACCACGAAUGCCUACAUCCUGCACUGUGACAUCAGCGCCUCGAAUCAGGUGAAGCCCAUGUCCCACAAGGACUUCCAAACUGAACUGGUGUCCCAGCUGUGUGGGGUGGACAGCACAGGCUUGCCCAUCAAGAGGAGGGCUGACCACAUCCCUGUUGCCAUCGCCAUGGUAACAAAUGCCAGCAUGAAGGCCACACAAGGCCGCAGAAUUUGCCAACACUGCCACCAGGUGGACAAAAAAAGAAAUCUCACUCCCUGGAAGUGUCAAUCCUGUGAUGUGGCUCUGUGUCUCAUUCUGAACAGAAACUGCUUUGCAGAGUGGCAUAGAUAAAAAAAAAAAAGGCACCUCAUUUUAUACAGUUGUAGUACAGGGGUGUCAAACUCAAGACUCGGGGGACCAUUUCAGCCUGUGGUGCAGAUGUACCCGGCCUGCAAGAUCAUAUCAUAUUUUUAUUUUUACUGGUCCACUGUUAUGAAGUCUGCAGAUUUCCUCCUGUAUAAAAAUAUAAACUAAACCUUGAUGCUUUAAAAUAUCCAUGUUAAGACAAAAAAUCUAAAAAUUAAAGGGCAAAAAUAACAAGAUAAAAGUCAGGAAUGUGGACAUUAAUUUGUCUUUUCAUUUGACAUAUUCAAUUUGCUUUCACAAUUACAACUUAUGAUUUUCACAUUUUAUUUCUUAUUUUGACCUUUUAAUUCAUAAUUUUGAAUUUUUCUCUCAUAUUUGACCUUCUACAUUCACAAUGUUUAAUUGCAAUUUAUAUUUUGACUUCUAAAACUCAUGAAUUUGAAUUGUAUGUCACAUUUUGACCUCUUCAACUCUAACUUUCAGUUUUAAUUCCAUAUUUUGACCUUUUAGACCUAGAUUUUGCCUUCAAAAUACCAAAUGUCAAAUUUUAUCUCAUAUUUUGAAUUUUAAUGUUUUAUUUUGACUUUUAAUUUCAUGUUUGACCUUUUGAACUCAUAAGAUUGACCUUUUUAUCUUAGAUUUUGAGCCUUUUAAAUUACCAUUUUGGCUUUUUUUUUUAAAUCUCAAAAUCAUUUACCAUCAAUGCUGAGUCCCACCGCCCCCAUAAUUCAUCACAUCAGGUUGACAGUUUUGGGUUGAAUGUUGACCCUGUUAGAAUAUCAGGUUAGACCUACAUUCAGAAUCCGGCUGUGACUGUGUUUGACACCCCUGUUGUAGUAUGUCUAUAUGCAUGUUUUUUAUAGCAAAUAUUCAUAUAUAGUUUUAGUAUAUUUUAGUUUUACCUUUAUAUUUUUAUAUUUUUCAACCUGUUAACGUUUUCAAGUACCAUAACAGUUCUUUGAGCAUGUUUGUGUUUUUUUUUAUUGUAAUAAAUAGUAUAUUUUCUCAAUUUGGAGUUGAUGAUUUGUAUGUAUUUUUGGGCCCAAUUGUUAUAAAGUAAGCUAACGUAAAAAAAAAAACAAAAAAAGAACAAUUACCAGAUCAAAUAGGUGAAGUUGUGCUCAACAAGAAGAUACCAAACAUGGGUAUGGUAAACAUUUUUAUGUGGUUUAGAAAGGAAAAGUAUCCAAUAAUGGCCAAAAUAGGCUCAAACCACUAGGGGUUAAAUCAGUCCUAACCUCUGUUCUUUUCAACAGAUUCAGUGAAUUAAAUGUUAUCAAAGUUAACAUGUCUUUAAUGCAUUAAUGGUUAACAGUGCUAAAUGUUGGUUCUUUUGGUAUCUCUCUUCUUUAAAUGAUGCUGUACAGGUAACAAUGUUCCUCCUCCUCAACCAGACAGAGGGCCAGAGAAUCAGCAUCACAAAGGACCAUACAAUGACGGCCUCGUUUACGAAAAUGAUGAUCAAGACCCAGCCUACCUACGAGAUGGCCACAGCGGAAAACAGAGCACCCUAC